ACGCGCGAGGAGGGCGGGCAGAGCGCGCGCGCGGCCGAGGGCGGCGGGGGCGCGCCCUGGCCUCGCCUGCUGUUGUCCAGGAGCGCACGUGCGCGGCGGGGGGGCUGCGAGGGGUACGCAGCUCGCUUUCCCCUGGCCGCGAAGGCCAGCGGGGCGCUGGAAGGGGGCCGGGGUGCAACCCCGGGGGGGUUCGGGCAAGGUCGACUGCCUUGGCUUCUGCAUUGUGCUGCGGUGAAAAAAUAAAAAACCUGCCGCAGCAGCAGUUACGCCGGGAAGAGACAUCUUCGGAGACCACAGCAGUGGCUCCUCUGCACUCCCAGCUGACCCCUGGAUACUGUCACCGCGCGGCGGAGAGGGGGUGUUGCCGCAAAGUUAUGGACCUGAAGAUUGGAAGUGACCUGGCAAGGGAGAAGAAGGACAAGCAAGAGUGAAAGAGUAGCAAACCCUGAAGUGGUUCCAAGGGUUUACCUCGUGACCACAGAGACCCAUCUCUGCCAGAGAGGAACAAGCAUGCAGAGAAGAAUUCAAUAGCCUGGGUUGUUCCUGGGAUUGGUGAGCUUUAAAAUCUCCUGUGAUGUCAAGAAGAGGAAAGCCUUCACAUCCCAGGUUUGGCCAUCACAUCCCCGAAUUCAGCUGCAUUGGCUGAAUGUUAAAUGGUUUAUGCCCAGCUAGUGGGAAGGUGAAUAAUACGUAAAGGAGCUGGGAUCUACACAUACGUUGGAUGACACAGACAUUGUACUUCAGAGUCUCGAAGCAUUUUGGUAACGUUCCCCCUAUUGGUAUUUGUGCUCGUUCAGAGAAAGAAUAAAUGGAUUCCUUCUGUGUAUUCCAGAUGUUGGGGUUUUGAGCAAGCUCAAGGGUGCUGAUGCUCCUUGCUCUUGUUCUGAGCCAGCACUCCCCCUCCUUGGAAAGUAGCAUCCAAAUAACCUAUGAAUAAGUAAUUAAUCUUGCCAAGCCUGCAGAUGAACUGAAUGUUGUGAUUUCUGGCCAACUCUGCAGCCAUCUGAACUGGGUGCUUCACAGUUUGUAACCAAUUACCUUGUGGUCCUAAUAACACCUUUAGUGAUUCAAUACAUAUAUCCCAAUAAUGGCAACAUUCUCUUAAAAAAGAAAAAGCCUUCCCAGCUGUAAAAUAAUGUUACAUAAUUGCAUUUGUUAUGGUCUGAUUCUGUAUUCUCAAGGUGAGGGGCAGGAGUGGGGUUAGGGGAGACAGAUUCCUUCUGUCUCCAAAGCUGUCCGAGGUCUCAGACUGGCCUCCUUUCUCAGCCUUGGCACUGUCAUCUUCCGGACAGGAGCAUCUGGGCUCACUCCUGGCAUCUCGGAUCUAUUGCCCUGCAGUCCCCUCCGGGCACUGGAGCAGCGUCACGGUACAGACAAGUAGAGCCAGCACAGAGUGCAGCCACUGAGCCGACUGCAUUGCCUACCUAACCUUGAGGUUUAGAGCGAGUCUGGGAAUUUGAGCAAGGAAGAGAGAGAAAGCUUAUGUUCAUCCCCAAAUUGAAGGCUCAACAGCCGGCUUGAGAAAAAUGAGUUGCCGAAAGCCGAAAUUCUUCAGAGAGAAUUUUCCCAAAGUGACGUUUGACAUUGCCCUGUUUGUUUAUUUUCUUCCUGGCCAAAGGGCCAACUCCAUAUUGUGUCCUAAUUAAACAGGAUAACAAAAUAGAUUUUUGAAAAAGGUGCAUUGCGUGUGCGUAACAUUCUCCUAGCUAAUCUGGAUGCCCAGGGAGUAGCCUUUCUAAACAUUGAGCACUUUACACACAAGAAGAACUACUACUGAGCAACAUUUUGGGAAGUGGUCAGUAGUGCUGAAUCCCCGGGGCAAUCAUCGAAAUAAGCUUUCCAUAUUCUGUCCUCCCAGUGACAUUUUGGUUCAUUAGAUUCUAUCACAAUAAUUUAGAACCUUUGACUGUUCUCCCACUACAAGGCCACAAAGGUUUUUUUCUUUCUUUUUUUUUCAGACUCUAAAUCUUCACACCCGCCAUACCCAUCUACAUAUCUGCUUUUGAAUAGUCGGCCAGAUAGUAGCUCCUUUGCGGGUGUCCUAGUAGGGUGCCUCUCCACUUGCAGAAUUCUAGAUGUCAACUGCCCCGGGCUGUGACCUUGGGCCAUUCCUAUUCCUUUUCUACACUCCCUCCCAGGGCAGCCUCCUCCAGCCCUAGGCUUUAAAUAGCCUCCAUUCACUGAUGUAUAUCUUUAACCCUGACCUCUCACCAGUACUCCAGGCUCGUAUAUCCAGCUGCCUCCAUGACAUCUCUGUUUGCAUAUCUCAAACUUAACAUGUCCAGAGCAGAACUCUUGACUUUCCGUAUUAAAACCGAAACUCCAAAUUGCUUCCUUCAAGUCUUCUUCCUCUUAGAACCAAAACGACUCCUUCUCUCAAACACCACAUUCAUUUUUGCAGGAAAUCCUUCCACUUCUACUUUCAAAACAUAUCCCGAAUCCAAUCUCUUCCUUUAAUUGCUAGCACCCUGAAGUUUCUCCCCUGGGUGACUAACCCGUUCCCUGCUUCCAUUAUCCCCCCUCCAGCCUCAAUUCAGCAACCAGAGAGUUCUUGCAAAACAUGAGUAAGAUGUCGUUAUCCUUGCUCAAAACUCUUGAAUGCUCUGUGCUUCUAAUCACACCACCAUAAAAAUCCAAAGUCUUGGAGUUCCCGUCAUGGCAUGGUGGAAACGAAUCCGGCUAGGAACCAUGAGGCUGUGGGUUCCAUCCCUGGCCUCGCUCAGUGGGUUAAGGAUCCAGCAUUGCCGUCAGCUGUGGUGUAGGUUGCAGACGUGGCUUGGAUCUGGCGUUGCUGUAGCUGUGGUGUAGGCUGGCAGCUUUAUCUCCAAUUCAAUCCCUAACUUGGAAACUUCCCUAUGCCACAGGUGUGGCCCUAAAAAGCAAAAAAAAAAAAAAAA
rnacentral:lncRNA from 1 species